rnacentral:rRNA from 1 species
AAUAAGUAACGACUAACUAUGUGCCAGCAGUCGCGGUAAUACAUAGGUUGCAAGCGUUAUCCGGAUUUACUGGGCGUAAAACGAGCGCAGGCGGGUUUUCAAGUCUGGUGUUAAAUGCCGUCGCUUAACGACGGCAUGCAUUGGAAACUGUUAACCUAGAGUUUGGUAGAGAGUUCUGGAACUCCAUGUGGAGCGGUGGAAUGCGUAGAUAUAUGGAAGAACACCAGUUGCGAAGGCGAGAACUUGGGCCACAACUGACGCUUAGGCUCGAAAGUGUGGGGAGCAAAUAGGAUUAGAUACCCUAGUAGUCCACACCGUAGACGAUGGGUGUUAAACGUCGGGAUUUAAUCUCGGUGUUGUAGUUAACACAUUAAACACCCUGCCUGGGUAGUACAUUCGCAAGAAUGAAACUCAAACGGAAUUGACGGGGACCCGCACAA